AAUGGUUAAGGGUUGUGCUUGUGUGUAGGAGGUUCUGGUUUAGAAAAAUUUCCCUUUAAUUUUUGCUAAAUUCCUAUCUUUAAACAUUUGACUUAUAAAUUAUUUUCGCUCAAUUUAAUGGUUCAGUGGUAAGGCCUUGGUAUACUUAAAAGUCUUGAAUUUGAGUCUCGUUAUGUUAAGGCAAAAAUUAUUUUUAUUUUGGAUCGUGGGCCAUCCUAGUAUUGGUAUACGAGAUGAGUUUAAUUUCUAAUAAUUUGUUAGGAUAUAUAAGAAGUUGGUUGGAUUUGGUAAAAUAUCAAUAUCUUUAUUAUUAUUAUUUAUUAAAAUAAUUAUUAUUGUCCCACUUUCCUGAACAUUGCUUCUAUUUUCUGUUUCUUUUUCUUUCUUUCUUUGUUUGUUUGUUCCAUCGUGGCUUGCGGUUCCUUCUUUUCAUCUUGCUUUUUUAUUAUUUAUUUAUUUUAUUUCUCAAUCUGUUCUUGAUUCUUGGGUUAUUGUGCUUCCAAUUUCAUUAUUGCGUUUGGUGGAUCAACUCCUGCUGUGCUGUUUCAAAUUUUCGAGUAUUCGUAAGUAAAUGCUUUAAUCAUUCUUUUGGUACAUGGAUUAAUCUCGUGAAACUUUUGUUAUUAGGUGUUAAUCAAGUAGGUCACAACUCCACUUCUGGGAUUAAGUUGUGCUGGGCUUGUGCUGUCUGUUUGGGUAAGUGGUUGAGCAUUGGAAGACUCAAUUUCGGUUUGUUAAAAUUGAGUACCACCGAUUGUGAUUGUAUGAGUUUUUGGAAUUUGGUGAAUCCAUACUAAAAUUAGUUGUUUGAUUACUGAAUUUAGGUUCUUGAAGUCUUGUGGUAGAUUUUGUAUCAGAAAAUACCCAGGUGUGUUAUGAAAAUCUGAGAAAUCAGCAAUUGGUGAAAAGUCAAAAUUGAAAUAGUCGAUACUACACAGUCGUGUAACAAGCGUGUGUGUCACACGGUCUAGGCUGUAUGGGCUACACGUAGGGGUGUGUAAAAUUCAGGUAAAACCGAAAAAAUUCGGUUAACCGACCGAAUUCGGUUAAUCGGUCGGUUAACCGAUUUUUUUCGGUCGAGGGUCGGUUAAUUAUUUUUUAAUUUUUCGGUUAACGGUUAAUUUGGUUCGAAACCGGUCAGUUAACCGAAUUUUUUUGGUUUAACCGAAAAAAUUAAUAAAUAAAAUUAUAAUAUAUAAAUAGGCCCACUAUUCACCUAAACCAAAAUAACCUAAAUUAUAAUAUAAUUAUAAUAUACAAAAAUUAAUUAUAAUAAGUUUGUAUAAUGUAUGAUGAUGUUAAAUUGUAUCUCUAAAUCUGUUAUAUAACCAUGCAUGUGAUUCCAUGGAAAACUGAUGUGUUUUUAAAUUGUUUAAGAAAUCUGUUUUGUAGAGCAUGGACUUCCAUGCCAUUUGUUUCUAUUAUUGUUCAUAAGCAUGUCUUACAUGCUCACCAUUCUGAUUUUAUACAUGCAUGCCAUGACAUAUUGCAUAGGGUUCGGAAUUAUGUUAAAGGAGGAAGAUUCUGUAUUAACAGUUUAAUGAUCUGCGUAUUUAGUGGCUCGAACACAUAUUUUGCUUUGGCAACUGGGUUGCAAUACAGUGGCUUGACCACAUUUAUUUGAUUUGGCAGUUUAACUGUAUAUUGAUAAGCCAUUAUUGCCGGGCAACUCGGGGUGGCGGGUUAUUGUUUCCAGGCAACUCGGGAUGACUUUAGUGGUGUGUUUUGGAUGGAUGAGUUCGGGGGAGAACUCUAUUUUGGUGUGUAGCAGAGUUGGGUAGGACGUUUUCUAAAAAAUCCGCAUUAUGAUUUUCUUAAAAAUAUUGCAUUGGCAUAGUGAUGCAUAUUCAAUUCAAAUUGACUGACCGUUAUGAAAUUUUUUGUGAUUUUUUGUUUUCUAUGUCGAAAUGUGUGUGAUCUCAAUUUGAGUUUUAGUUAUACAUUGAGCUAUAUACUUCACCCCUUUAUUUUAUUUCUGAUGUUUCAAGUAAUCGGUAAGUUAGAAUCAGACGGCAUGCAAGAGCUCGGAUGAUUUUAUCAGUUAAUAUAAAAACUCUAAAAGUUUUUUAUGGCAAGUUAAGUAACCCCUCAAGGAUUUUUCUGUAAAUAAACAAAUGGUUUGUAACGAGUGUUUGUUUUUAAGCUGAAAACGAUUUGCCAAAAUGCUUAUUUUUGAAACACGAGUUGAAUUCAAAUUUUUGGGUUGAAAUAAGUGAAUUUGGAUUUAAGGUUUUUCUAGACAUUUGUCAAAGUGUUGCCAAAUUUUAGGAUUUCGAAACGUGUUUUUAGUUUGAUCAAGACAAAGGCUUUUAAUAAGCUGAUGUAAUUCCUCAACAUCUGGUCAGAACUUCUAGGCCGGGUUUGGGGUGUUACACAAACACUUCAUUUUAGUUAUUCCAUUAGUAAUUUCUAAAAUAAAAAAAUUAAAAUUUAAAGAAGUAAUAGUGUUAUUUCAAUUUGCAGAAGACCUUAAAAAAAGGGAAAAACUUAUAUUAAAUUAGAAACCCGAGGAAAUUACACAUAUAUGUGUUUAAAAAUAACAUAAAAUAAAUAAUGAAACGUAUGGUUUGAAACUAAUUAAUCAUAAUAACAUAUAAAAUAUGUAUGAUAUUUGAAAUGAAAAUUUGGAUUAAAUUAUAAGUAAAACAAAAUUUAAACAUAUAAAUACAUCAUAAUUAAUUGUUAGUGUCGAGUUGACUUGUGACAUUAACUCAAUUAACAACAUUAUUAAUAUAUACAACUGAUGGAGAUAAUAAAUUGUGCAUAUUAAAAUAAAAAUGUAUAAAAUAUGUUAAAAUAAAGCUUUAGUUGAGUGAUAAAUUUAAUGUUUUACUAACUCAAUUGGUAUGAGUUCGAAUUGUAUCAUAUUUAUAUUUUUAUUGAGUUUUUUAAAAUAAAAAAAAAUUAUAGUACCCUCAAAUAAUAUAAUUUAUUUUAAAUGUAAAGAGAAUUAAAGUAAUUUUUCUAACUGAGUUGAGACCUAAUUGAAGGGUGACCCCAACUCAAUAAAAGGAAAAUUGAGAAUUUUCCUUUUUUAGUGUUAAAGAUUAUGUGACCUGAAUCCCCUCACUUGUUGAAGAAAUAAAUACAAUGGCAAAAUAAAGGGAUCUGUGGAGGCGAAAGGCUGAGGGCUGUAGAUGUAAUCGAAACUCCUCUUCUAUUUGAAAACGUAUAAAACUAUUCUUCUUCUAUUUGACUUUGAUUAGAAUAGGGUUUUUCAUCCCUUAAAUAGAUGUAGUCAAAACUCUUAUUGUAUCAUUCAUUUUUUAAGAUUAGUGAAUUUUUCCUUCUCUA
rnacentral:lncRNA from 1 species